AGCAGCCGCGGUAAUUCCAGCUCCAAUAGCGUAUAUUAAAGUUGUUGCAGUUAAAAAGCUCGUAGUUGAAUUUCGGGACCAAUUUGUUGGUCGUGCCUCGGUACGUACUGGUAUUAUUGGUUUCUCCCUUCUGAAGAACCUCGAUGUCAUUAAUUUGGUGUCGUGGGGAAUCAGGACUGUUACUUUGAAAAAAUUAGAGUGUUUAAAGCAGGCAUACGCUUGAAUACAUUAGCAUGGAAUAAUGAAAUAGGACGUUUGAUUCUAUUUUAUUGGUUUCUAGGAUCGACGUAAUGAUUAAUAGGGAUAGUUGGGGGCAUUAGUAUUCAAUUGUCAGAGGUGAAAUUCUUGGAUUUAUUGAAGACUAACUACUGCGAAAGCAUUUGCCAAGGAUGUUUUCAUUAAUCAAGAACGAAAGUUAGGGGAUCGAAGACGAUCAGAUACCGUCGUAGUCUUAACCAUAAACUAUGCCGACUAGGGAUCGGAUGAUGUUAAUUUUUAAUGACUCAUUCGGCGCCUUACG
rnacentral:rRNA from 1 species